UUUUUGCAAAUGGACUUUUUCCUUCAAUUUUCAGUUCAUCAUGAUAGAUCUUUGCUUGUUUCAUGAUCAGCAUACCAUUAAGUGGCAUGUGUUCACUGCAGCGCUGAUGGAUCCACU